rnacentral:rRNA from 1 species
UACGUAGGGAGCGAGCGUUGUCCGGAUUCAUUGGGCGUAAAGAGCUCGUAGGCGGUUCAGUAAGUCGGGUGUGAAAUCUCCGUGCUCAACACGGAGCGGCCACCUGAUACUGCUGUGACUCGAGUCCGGUAGGGGAGUGUGGAAUUCCCGGUGUAGCGGUGAAAUGCGCAGAUAUCGGGAAGAACACCCGUGGCGAAGGCGGUUCUCUGGGACGGUACUGACGCUGAGACGCGAAAGCGUGGGGAGCGAACAGG